UAGAUGAAAUAGUAUGAAGGAAAUAGAAUUUAAGAAUUCAAGCCUGGGUGCGGUGGCUCACGCCUGUAAUCCCAGCACUUUGGUAGGCUGAGGCGGGUGGAUCAUUUGAGGUCAGGAGUUCGAGACCAGGCUGACCAACAUGGAGAAACACUGUCUCUAAUAAAAAUAAAAAUAAAUCAGGCGUGGUGGCGCAUGCCUGUAGUCCCAGCUACUCGAGAGGCUGAGGCAGGAGAAUCACUUGAGCCCAGGAGGUGGAGGUUGCAGUGUAUGGAGUUCAUACCACUGCACUCCAGCCUGGGCAACAGAGCAAGACUCAGUCUCAAAAAACAGAAUUCAGGGAAAUUGGAUUAUCUAUGUCUUUAAUUUCUCACAAGUCAACUAUGUUCACACAACCUGUAUUUUUCAUACAGUAGAGGCCUGAAAUGCAAACCAAUGACUUCAUUUGUUGCCGAUCCACAGCAACAGUGAUGGACUCCAACGCUGGAGGAAAAACUGGCUGCACUGCGUUUAUUAAGAUACAGUAAAGAAUAUAUUAAUCCUGACUAUUACUAUACCCUGGACAAUUCAAGGGAUUUUUCCAGAGUAAUAUUCAUAGAUCAGAUGCAAUUUUCAUUUGACCUACACUGUAGAAUAUAACUUUUGGUGCUAGUUUCAGCAGCACAUAUACUAAAAUUGGAAUGAUGCAGAGAAGAUUAGCAUGUCCCCUGCAUAAGGAUGACAUGCAAAUUCAUGAAGUGUUCCAUAUUUUAAAAAUACCUAUCAGGUACUACACUUAGUACCUGGGUAAUGAAAUAUUCGUACACCAAAUUCUCGUGACAUGAGUUUACCUAUAUAACAAAACCGCAUAAUGAGCCCCUGAACCUAAAACAAAAGUUAAAAAAGAGAAAAAAAAAGAAUAUAAUCUUUGGUUAAAAAGUGACUCCUACCUUGAUUUUAAGAAAAUUUUUAUCAUUUAGUUUAAUUCCAUUCAGGGAUCAUAAAUAAAUAGUCUAAUUUUUUUAAAAAAAUCGAGAUAGAAUUUACAUAGCAGCAUUCACUCUUUUAAAGUAUAAAUUUUUGUUGUUGUUGUUUGUUGUUUGUUUGUUUGAGGCAGAAUCUUGCUCUGUCACCCAGGCUGGAGUGCAGUGGCAUGAUCUUGGCUCACUGCAACCUCCACCUCCCCAGUUCAAGUGAUUCUCCUGCCUCAGCCUCCCGAGUAGCUGGGAUUACAGGUGCCUGCAACCAUGCCCGGCUAAUUUUUGUAUUUUUAGUAGAGACAGUGUUUCACCAUGUUGGCGAGGCUGGUCUUGAACUCCUGACCUCAAGUGAUCUGCCCGCCUCGGCCUCCCAAAGUGCUGGGAUUACAGGCGUGAGCCACCACGCUUGGCCUGGAACCUCCCUUUCCAGUUUGAAUUCCCUCAUGUCUCCUACUCACACCUCUGUAUUUCCAGCAUUACCUCCUCCUUCUCCUCCAGUCUAAAUCCCACCCAUUUUACAAGUCCCACUUCAAAUCACGAGUUUUUGAUAAAGCCUUCCCAGGCUAUCCAGCCCUCAGAGACAGCUUCCCAAAUCUCAUUGCAUGUAGUAGUUGCACCUUUUGUUUGGCAAAUAUUCUGCCUUUCUGGCAUAUAUAUAUGGCACAUUGUAGGUGCUGCAUGUAUAUUAAGUGAAUGAAUGAAUCUCUACACCAGAUUAUAAGCAAAUUGAAAGUCGUGGCCUAUGCUAUGUUCUAAUCCAGGGCUGUAGCGUGGUUGAGGAGAGAUAUAUGGCAAUGAUGAAAAUAUUUGAGAAGCUUAGGAGCCCCAGGGAGGGAGGAGCAUUUCCCAGAGUCCUCUCUGUUUCCUUAGUUUAGAGCAACACCGAUUUACCUUCUGGCUAUGAUCAAAAUGUUUUUGUCCCCCAGAAUUCAUAUAUUAAAAACCUAAUCCUCAAGGCGAUGGAUGGUAUUAGCAGGUGGGCCCAUUGGGAAGUGAUUAGGUCAUGAGAGGGGAGCCCUCAUGAAUGGAAUUAGUGCCCUCAUGAAAGAGGCCCCAGAGGGCUGCCUCUCCCCUUCUACCACGUGAGAACACGGAGAGAAGGUAUUGCUCACUAACCAGAACACAGGCUCUCCAUAGACACCACAUCUGCUGGCGUCUUGAUCAAAGACUUCCCAGCCUCCAGAACCAUGAAGAAACACAUCGUUGUUGUUUGUUUGUUUGUUUAUUUAUUUUUUGAGACAGAGUUUCACUCUUGUUGGCCAGGCUAGAGUGCAAUGGCACUAUCUGGGCUCACCGCAACCUCCACCUUCUGGGUUCAAGCGAUUCUCCUGCCUCAGCCUCCCCAGUAGCUGGGAUUACAGGCAUGCGCCUCCAUGCCUGGCUAAUUUCUGUAUUUUUAGUAAAGACAGGUUUCACCAUGUUGGCCAGGCUGGUCUCGAACUCCUGACCUCAAGGCCUGGUGCAGCGGCUCACACCUGUAACCCCAGCACUUUGGGAGGCCAGGCAGGCAGAUCACCCAGUCAAUGUUAUAGCAGCCCAAACAGACUGAGACACUCCUGCAAAAGCAUGCCAAGAGCAAAGGGCCUUUUCUUCUUUUAGGGUCAGGAUCAGGGAUGGCCUUUAGUAACCAUUUUGCCUUGGACCUUUCCUGUCCAACUUCUCAUGCUCUCUUGAUUUGACACCCAGAUGUAUGGCCAGCAGACUCCUACAGGGCCACUAACAGCUCCUCUGCAAAGUGCUCUGAUAGCACAAAGGUGUCAGUUCUUCCUCUCAGCCACCACUGCCUGUGGAGAGAGGGACAGAAGUAACAAGUGAGAAGACCCCUCAUACCUUCUCUCACUCUACCUCAUGAUGAUAUUCUUCAAAAUCUGUGGGCUCCUUUAGUUUUAGCAUCACUAGUAUAUUAUAAUAUGGUAUGUUAUAAUACAGCACAAUAUAGUAUAGUGUAGUGUAGCAUAGUAUGAUAUAGUAUAUUCACCAAUCUAUUUUUUGUUCUUUUUUUUUUUUGAGAAGGAGUCUCGCUCUGUUGCCAGGCUGGAGUGCAGUGGCAUAAUCCUGGCUUACUGCAGCCUCCGCCUCCUGGGUUCAAGUGAUUCUCCUGCCUCAGCCUCCUGAAUAGCUGAGAUUACAGGCACAUGCCACCACACCUGGCUAAUUUUUGUAUUUUUAGUAGAGACGGGGUUUCACCAUAUUGGCCAGGAUGGUCUCGAUCUCUAGACCUUGUGAUCCACCCGCCUUGGCCUCCUAAAGUGCUGGGAUUACAGGUGUGAGCCACCACGCCCGGCCUUUUUUUCUUCAUUUUUUUUAGGUUUCUGGAGGGAUCCAGCUUCUAUUACUCUUUCGUCCCGUAAGCUGGAUACCACUAUUUUAUGUGUAAUUCUAUUUUUAUUUAUUUAUUUAUUUAUUUUGAGAUGGCGUCUUGCUCUGUCGCUCAGGCUGGAGUGCAGUGAUGCGAUCUCAGCUCACUGCAACCUCCGCCUGCCAGGUUCAAGCGAUU
rnacentral:lncRNA from 10 species